rnacentral:rRNA from 1 species
GCUACCUGGACCAACACUGACACUGAGGCACGAAAGCGUGGGGAGCAAACAGGAUUAGAUACCCUGGUAGUCCACGCCCUAAACGAUGCGAACUGGAUGUUGGGUGCAAUUUGGCACGCAGUAUCGAAGCUAACGCGUUAAGUUCGCCGCCUGGGGAGUACGGUCGCAAGACUGAAACUCAAAGGAAUUGACGGGGGCCCGCACAAGCGGUGGAGUAUGUGGUUUAAUUCGAUGCAACGCGAAGAACCUUACCUGGCCUUGACAUGUCGAGAACUUUCCAGAGAUGGAUUGGUGCCUUCG